rnacentral:lncRNA from 1 species
AAAUAAAAAAUUAAAUAGACAACAAUUAAGAAAAAUAGUUAAAACCAUAUAACCAAUACUUUUACAAAUACACAUGUACCCAUGAGUCUCAGAUACUAAUAAGGUAUCUCCCAUGACCUACAAUCAAACACAUGUACCCAUGAGUCCCAGAUAUUAAUAAAUACCUCUCAUGACCUACAACAACAAUUUAUGUACCAAUGGGUCCCAGAUACCUUCAGGUACCUCCCAUGACCUACACCGACAGACGGACUAGAGCUGUAUUCCUAACCGUAACCAAUCACCCGGCCAAAGGCUUGGAACCCGGUUUGACUGUCCAAUAUCACAUCACAAAAUAAUAAUAACGUCAUAACCGUAACCAAUCACCCGAUUAAAGGCUUGGAACCCAGUUUGACUAUCUACACAACAAAUCACAAAAGAGUAGAAUCAUCAUAACCGCAACCAAUCACCCGAUUAAAGGCUUGGAACCCGGUUUGACUAUCUAACUUGUUUUAUCUUACCUAUGAGCCGUCGACGAUCAAGCUCAUUUAUUUUAAAAACAACAAUAACGCAUCGUCAUCGUCAUCGUCAUCGUCAUCGUCAUUGUCAUCGUCAUCGUCGUCAUCGUCAUCGUCGUCAUCGCCAUCAUCGUCAUCAUCGUCAUCAUCAUCAUCAUCAUCAUCAUCAUCAUCACAACCAUCAAAAUCAUUAUCAUAGCAACCACAAUUAUUUAAAAGCAUAUUAAAUCAUCAUCAUAUUUUUAAUUCAACAUCAUCAACAACACAAAGAGCACAUCAUAAAAUUAUAUCCUUCCACAUAGAUAUAAUUAUAUGAAUAAAUCUAGAUAUUUCCACAAGAAAUAAUCUAUCAAUCACCAAUAAAAUUAUGAUCACAAGGAACUUAAAAUAAUCAUAUAAGGAAAACUUAUUUUAACUUACCUAUGAGCCGUUGGCGAUCAAGCUCAUUAUUUUAAAACAAACCAAAA